rnacentral:rRNA from 1 species
CGGAAAGGCCCUUCGGGGUACUCGAGCGGCGAACGGGUGAGUAACACGUGAGCAACCUGCCCCUGACUCUGGGAUAAGCCCGGGAAACUGGGUCUAAUACCGGAUACGACCGCCCCCGGCAUCGGGUGGUGGUGGAAAGUUUUUCGGUUGGGGAUGGGCUCGCGGCCUAUCAGCUUGUUGGUGGGGUAGUGGCCUACCAAGGCGACGACGGGUAGCCGGCCUGAGAGGGCGACCGGCCACACUGGGACUGAGACACGGCCCAGACUCCUACGGGAGGCAGCAGUGGGGAAUAUUGCGCAAUGGGCGGAAGCCUGACGCAGCGACGCCGCGUGGGGGAUGACGGCCUUCGGGUUGUAAACCUCUUUCAGCAGGGACGAAGUUGACGUGUACCUGCAGAAGAAGCGCCGGCUAACUACGUGCCAGCAGCCGCGGUAAUACGUAGGGCGCAAGCGUUGUCCGGAAUUAUUGGGCGUAAAGAGCUCGUAGGUGGCUGGUCGCGUCUGCCGUGAAAGCCCGCAGCUUAACUGCGGGUCUGCGGUGGAUACGGGCCGGCUAGAGGUAGGUAGGGGCAAGUGGAAUUCCUGGUGUAGCGGUGAAAUGCGCAGAUAUCAGGAGGAACACCGGUGGCGAAGGCGGCUUGCUGGGCCUUACCUGACGCUGAGGAGCGAAAGCGUGGGGAGCGAACAGGAUUAGAU